UCCAGUUUAUCCUGCUGGCGGCUGCGGCUAUCUGGCUUGCACUUAGGCAUGCAAGUUCCUUUUUUGGAAACGAAGAAGAGCGAACUGCUCAGUAACACGUAGCUAACCUACCCUUAAGUCAGGGAUAACCUCGGGAAACUGAGGCUAAGACCUGAUAGAAUAUUUUUUCUGGAAUGAGAAAUUUUCGAAACUCGAGCUUAAGGAUGGGGCUGCGGCUGAUUAGGUUGUUGGCGGGGUAACUGCCCACCAAGCCAUUGAUCAGUAAGGGCUCUUAGCGGAGGAGCCCUGAGAAGGAAUCUGAGACACUAUUCCUAGCCUUACGGGGUGCAGCAGUCGGGGAUCUUUUGCAAUGCGCGCAAGCGUGACAAAGCGAGCCAGAGUGUUUCUUUUAAUAAAGAAACUUUUAUCUGCUGUAAAAAAGCAGAUGAAUAAGGACUGGGCAAGACCGGUGCCAGCCGCCGCGGUAAUACCGGCGGUCCAAGUCGCAGCCACAAUUAUUGGGUCUAAAACAUCCGUAGCUUGUUUAAUAAGUUUCUUGUGAAAUCUCAUCUCUUAAGGGUGAGGCGUGCAAGAAAUACUGUUAAGCUAGAGACCGGGGGAUGCAAGGAGUAUGGUUGGGGUAGUGGUAAAAUAUUUUAAUCUCAACCAGACUAACAAUGGCGAAGGCACCUUGCAAGAACGGAUCUGACAGUAAGGGAUGAAGGCUAGGGGCGCAAAACGGAUUAGAUACCCGUGUAGUCCUAGCAGUAAACACUGCUCACUAAACAUUAGCACCUCCUCGAGAGGUGUUGGUGCUGUAGGGAAGCCGAAGAGUGAGCUACCUGGGAAGUAUGGUCGCAAGGCUGAAACUUAAAGGAAUUGGCGGGGGAGUACUACAACAGGUGACGCGUGCGGUUCAAUUAGAAUCUACACCGUGAACCUCACCAGGACCGACAGCAGAAUGAAGGUGUCUGAAGGGCUUACCUGACACGCUGAGAGGAGCUGCAUGGCCGACGUCAGCCUGUGUCGUGAGAUGACCUGUUAAAUCAGGUAACAGGCGAGACCCGUGUGCAUAGUUACUAUUGAAGAUCACUAUGCAGACUGCCUUGGUAACAAGGAGGAAGGUACGGACUACGUUAGGUGAGUACAGCCUGAAUGCCCUGGGCAACACGCGCGCGGCAAUGGUAUAUUCAGUGAGAUGCCACUCUGAAAAGAGAAGCUAAUCCCAUAAAGUAUAUCUUAGUUCAGAUUGAGGCUUGUAACCCAGCCUCAUGACGAUGGAAUCUGUAGUAAUCGUUUGUUAUCAGCGAACGGUGAAUAAGUCCCCUCUCCUUGCACACACCGCCCGUCAAACCAACCGAGUUAUGCUUUGGCGAGGUCCUUCGGGAACGAACCUCGGUAUGACAAGGUAGGUUAAGUCGUCACAAGGUA
rnacentral:rRNA from 1 species